AAGAAGGGGCAGAACAAUGGGUACCUCUGUCACAGCUCUUGUUUGUCGCUGGGGCGGCCAGUCCAGCGCAGCCCUUGCCUUGCACCCCAGCCCGUCUUAGCCAGCGCCGUGUGUCAUCCCACAGUUUAGUUUAACGUGGGUUUUUGCCAUUUUUUUUUUCCUUUUGGCUGGAGCAGCCUCAGCCUGACUCACUGAAUUUCCGUCUCUUCCCACAGAUUUUUUUAUUAAUGCGUUUUCCAGUCACCGGCAAAAAUUAAGGGGAGAAAACCGUAAAUACGAUUCGGUCGCGGCGGGCAGGGGAAGAAAAGAAAAAAAAAACGUAUUUAAAGCAUACUUCACUCCCCCUCCUUCACGCCUCCCAGCAAGGAGCGUGAGACGAGGGUCCGGUCCCUGCCAGAAAUGAGCGACCUGGCGAGCCUCUGGCGUGCAGUUCUCCCUUUCAUUCAAACGGGAGCGAUCAGCAGAGAAGAAAACGCGCUUUUCCUUUUUCCGGGAAAAGCUGCAAGCUUCCAGAGGAGCCGAGGAAAGGAGACAAUACCCGCCUGUGCAGCUCCCCCGCUUCCCCCCUCCCUCGCAAAAAUAAGCAGCAGCGGAACACAUCAUGCAACACUCGGGGCUCUUUUCUGCCCCACUUCUGCAAACGCCGCAGAGGGAAAGAGCAGAGCGGGGAAUAAAAGGAGGGGAAGCCAAGAAAGAAAAGUGUCAAGGCAGGAGGACUCUCCUGCACGUCGGGUCUCUCGGUGGGAAGGAUGGAUUACCUUGUCCAGUGCCAGUUGUGUCCAGGCUUUUUGUUUCCCCCUGUCUUUAGUCCAACCACGGGGAGGGGGGCUGGGGUUGGGGGAAAUCAAAAUGAUAUCCAAAGUUAUCCUGCACCCGCCCCUUCCAAAGGGGAAAUGCAAUAAUGCCACUAGUGUUUCUACUCGGCUGCGGCAGAGAUGCCUUAUUAAUACUUUAUUUCUGCGAGCCCGAAGCUGGCAGGAGAGAGCUACAGAUCCCCCUUGCCCCUCCCUCCCCUCCCUCCCCCUCCUCCGAAAUUAGCCUCAUCAAUUCAGCUACAAUUUUGCAGUUCAGAUGCAGACACGGGGCUGAACGUGACCAGACCUGGAGGUUUUGGGCUCGCUGCUUGCCAGCGAUUGAGGCCGCCCGCAGCCGGGAGGUGAAGGGGGGGAGCGGAGGGACAGCCCGGCCGCCUCCCCUCUCCCCAUCCCCCGGCCCCCCCUGUCUGCUCCACAGUCCAGGGGUCUGCGCCGGGGUCCCCGGAGAGCUGCACAUCUGGAUGCUGCUAGCGGGGUCAGGUCCCCCCUUGCCUAGGGCCACAAGAACUGGAGUUCAAUUAAAAGAAAUCACGGUUAA